rnacentral:rRNA from 1 species
AGAGUUUGAUCAUGGCUCAAAUUGAACGCUGGCGGUAUGCUUGACACAUGCAAGUCGAACGGUAACAGGCCUUCGGGCGCUGACGAGUGGCGGACGGGUGAGUAACGCGUAGGAAUCUGCCUUAUAGUGGGGGACAACGUGGGGAAACCCACGCUAAUACCGCAUACGCCCUACGGGGGAAGGGAGGGGAUCUUCGGACCUUUCGCUAUGAGAUGAGCCUGCGUUAGAUUAGCUAGUUGGUAGGGUAAAGGCCUACCAAGGCGACGAUCUAUAGCUGGUCUGAGAGGACGAUCAGCCACACUGGGACUGAGACACGGCCCAGACUCCUACGGGAGGCAGCAGUGGGGAAUAUUGGACAAUGGGCGAAAGCCUGAUCCAGCAAUACCGCGUGUGUGAAGAAGGCCUUAGGGUUGUAAAGCACUUUCAAUUGGGAGGAAAACCUGUCGGUCAAUACCCGGCAGCUUGACAUUACCUUUAGAAGAAGCACCGGCUAACUCCGUGCCAGCAGCCGCGGUAAUACGGAGGGUGCGAGCGUUAAUCGGAAUUACUGGGCGUAAAGCGUGCGUAGGCGGUUCGUUAAGUCAGAUGUGAAAGCCCUGGGCUCAACCUGGGAACUGCAUUUGAAACUGGCGGACUAGAGU